CUUAAGAAACCUAAACGCCAAGGCAAAGCAACGCCCUUAUAUGCCGGGAAUUCGGACCUAAUUGAAGACUGAAAGCGCGCAUACCGGAACUUUGGUCCUGCUUCUUGGCCCCACCCCGCAUAGCCCAGCCCUGGAUGACGUCACCAACGACUCCAGCCUUUGGCAUCUGAGCGCCGGCUCCGCGGAGGCGUCUCUUGCAAUUGCUGGGAAAUAGGAAUGAGAGUUUUAAGGCUGUUUUAACAACCAAAUCAGAUUAAAUAAAUUAACAUGUUUAAAUUGUUAUCAAUUGUUCCUUCAGUUGCUUUAGGACGAUUGGAGAGGAGCCUCGGUCCACAAGACCGGAAGCCUGAGGAGUGCAGCUUUGUCCCCAAGGUCACAGUGACUGGCUUUCUGCUGCCGGCUGUAAAGCACAUGCGGACCGAAACCCCCCUUCGGAAGUGUUUGAAAACUGCAAGAUUUCACCCUCUCCAUCACCAAGCCAAGGGAAACAUAACCAAAAGGGUUUUCUUCCCGAUGGCGAAGGCAUGAUAGACUCCAGAUGUUCCUAUAGAUAACCUUAAGGAACACGGUGCCUGGGACGUGGUUGCCCUCAGCAUUCCUUCUGGUGACAGAUGCAGUUGUCAGUUUGCCAACAUCCUGCUUUCAUGAGAACAGUUUGCUGUUUGCUCAUAUACCCUCCAGUGGUAUAUUGAGUUGGUCACGUCCCUCAUUCCUUUGGCCUCCAACAGGUGAAGGCUAAAGAAGGCUUUCUCAUCCAACGUCUUCACUGAGGAUAGGAAAGCCCUUUCUCUCCAAUUGUGAACUGCACGCAUGUGUGUAAGCUAUGCUUGCAUAGCAAAGUCCACUUGGGCAUUAGAGUCAAAGUUGUUAAGGGGAGCUAGUCAUAGCUACCACGUGGCCAGGCAUGUGGAACCAGACACCAGGCACACAUCAUGAAUCAUCAUAUUUACUUUAAAUAAUGCUGACAACCUAGUUCAUAGUGACACACUACUUGAGAUAUAUAGAAUAACAUUAUUACCCAGUAAGUAUGUGAACAUUCCGAUAUUUUAGUAAGGGUCAUCACCAUGGCACUUAUCUACAGAGAUAAAUGAAAACUAAAACAGGGUUGCUGCAUUAAUUUUGCCCUGGCAAUUGUCUGAUUCUGAAAUGGUGGCAGGUUUUGAGCCAAAACUUGAAUGAGUAAGAACUUGCCAUAUAGCCGAGAAGAGCACUCUAGCAAAAAGAAAUAAAUAUAAGGAAGCAUAAUAGUUAAAGGUUUUUAAGGAACUACAAAUAAUUCAGUGUGAUGAAGUAUGGAGGUGAGGUCAUGUGAGGGAGAGGGAUUUGGAGAGAAAAGUGGCUGUGUUCCGAUCACCUCCUGUGCACCUGUUGAAAGACAAUAAAUUCUCCUGCCCUAAAUAGUAAGAAGGCUGGACACAUGACCUCAACACUGAAUAAAUGAGACUGGCAGAAAUUUAUUAGUCAUAUGUACUCACAGCCUGGAAAAAAGAGGGCACUGCAUACCGUGCAAGGCCACAGAAGGUUUGCACUCAGGAACAGAAUGAACCAUUAGGGGCUGUGAGAGGUAGGCUUUGUAGUCAUCAGAGGGUUGGGUGACUCCUGGUUCCCUCCAGAGAAUGUAGUUGGCUUGCUUUAACAGUUUUAGGGACUGGCAGUGAGACGAAACCCAUUAGGUUGAGGCCUGAGUGAGAUGCAGCUGGUCUGUCAGAUAAGGGAACUGGACAAGUAGGGAACCUUUCCUGCUUGUGGGAGUCAUAGCUAUCAAGACAGGGGAAUUUGUGGAUAAGCAUUUUUGGGGAGCUCUGUGAGGGUCAAAAAUCUCAAGGCAGCAGUUGAAAUUUUAGGUCUUACAAUACCUAAAAUUGGUUUGGAGUUAUGGCAGAACAAAAAGGGAAAGAACAGGUCAUAAGGGCGUGAGUAUACAAGGCAAACACUUGGAUUUUAUUUUUCAGUGGGCAAUAGGAAACCACUGACCAAUUGUGAGCAAAGAAUAUUAUUCCAGUUCUCUUCUGAGAAAAAAAAGUCUCUGUCCCAUUCCAGGAGGUGCAGCAAUCAAUCAAUCAAUCAAUAAGGGGGGAAAUAAAGGAAAAAAGUCUUUAGAGUUUUCAUGUUUAUGAUCUGGUCCUUGAUUGGUUUAUUUUUCAGCAAGUCACUUCUUUUCUAACUUGGGAAAGGGAAAGUUUGGGACUGUAUAUAUUUAUUUAAAUCUGACCACUCCACACUAGUCAUCUCCACUUGAAUGUUCAAUACACAACUUGAAGUAAAUGCUGAAACAGAUUCUAGAUCCCCACCACACACAUACACACUCCACUCUCAAAAUGCUCUUUCUGAAGUCAUUCCUGUCUCAGUAAAUGCAAACUGUGUUGUUACAGCAAAAGAAACUGGAGAUAUAUAUGACUUUUCUAUUUAUUUCACACCAAUUUAAUCACAAACCCUUUAAAACAUACCCAGAAUUCAACCACUCCUUGAUACUUCUACAAACACUACCCAUAAUGGUUUAUGGGUCAUCCAGAUAUUAUAAUAGCCUUUCAAUCAAUCUUCUCCAGGAAGGAGAAAGAGAGAGCAACAAAGAUUUUUGCAGAAUAGAAGAAUAUUGUUAAAUAAUUAUCACAUUGGCCGGGCGUGGUGGCUCACGCCUGUAAUCCCAGUACUUUGAGAGGUCAAGGUGGGAGGAUCAGCUCAGGUCAGGAGUUCGAGACCAACCUGGCCAACAUAGUGAAACCCCGUCUCUACUAAAAAUACAAAAAUUAGCCAGGCAUUGGUGGUGGGCGCCUGUAAUCCCAGCUACUUGGGAGGCUGAGGCAGGAGAAUCGCUUGAACCUGGAAGGCAGAGGUUUCGGUGAGCUGAGAUGGUGCCACUGCACUCCAGCCUAGGCCACAGAGUGAGACUCUGUCUCAAAAAUAAUAAUAAUAAUAAUAAUAAUAAUAAUAAUAAUUCUCACAUUGAAGAUGAUUGCAGAAUUCGAAAAUAAAUGAGAAAUUCGGCAUAUUUUUAUUGAGCUCCUACUAUUUGUCAGAUGUUAUUCUAUGGAUAGGGAAAGAAAGACUAUGUAAAAGGCCCAAUUUCUAUGCACCAGAAGCCGCUAUAUUUGCUAACCAAGAGAAACCAAGACUUAUCACAAAUGAGCCAGGAGAGCCAUUAUUCCCAGUAUCUGGGGUUUAGGAAAAUUAAGGAAAUGUCUUAUAUGUAGGCUGUUGACAUUAUCUUCAAAUGAAGUACUUGACUUCACAGAGAUUCACUGACAGGCUUGAAAGAAGCCACACAAAAUAGAACUUUAUAUGCCAUGAUGGGGCCAAGAGCGCUACGGAACAUUAUAAAUUCUAUAAAUAUCUUCUCCAUAGUAUGAUGCUAAUGCAUUACAUUUUCGUGUUGAUUCAUCUAUUAAAUGUAAAAAUUGUUAAUAAUAAAAAUUUUUGCAUUUCUAUUUCGUGUUCCUUCACUUCUUAAUAUAUGGGAACCUCAAAAACUGGUAAUGGCUCUAGUCCGCUCGGCACUCCUGAGAAACCCCAAGGAAAGUAUUUUCUUUCCUUUCUAAACAGAACCAUACCACG
rnacentral:lncRNA from 10 species